rnacentral:rRNA from 1 species
AGAGUUUGAUUCUGGCUCAGAANNNNCGCUGGCGGCGUGGCUAAGGCAUGCAAGUCGAACGAACAUAUUCCAAGGGUAACUGAGGAGUAUGUUAGUGGCGAACGGGUGAGGAAUACAUGGACAACGUACCCUGGACACGGGGAUAGCGGCGGGCCGCAAGGCUCUUUAGCGAAAGUGCCGGUAAUACCCGAUGAUCCCGCGGAAUCGCAUGAUUCUGUGGGCAAAGCUCCGACGGUCUAGGAUCGGUUCAUGCCCUAUCAGCUAGUUGGUGAGGUAACGGCUCACCAAGGCAACGACGGGUACCGGGCGUGAGAGCGUGACCCGGCACAUCGGAACUGAGAUACGGUCCGGACACCUACGGGCGGCUGCAGCAACGAAUAUUCCGCAAUGGACGCAAGUCUGACGGAGCGACGCCGCGUGCAGGAUGAAGUCCCUCGGGAUGUAAACUGCUGUCAGGGGUGAGGAAUAAGUUGACCAACCCCAGAGGAAGCAUCGGCUAACUCCGUGCCAGCAGCCGCGGUAAUACGGAGGAUGCAAGCGUUGUUCGGAAUCACUGGGCUUAAAGAGCAUGUAGGUGGGGUGUCAGGCGUCGGGUGAAAUCCCUCGGCUCAACCGAGGAACUGCCUGGCGAACCGGCAUUCUUGAGGCAGGUAGAGGUGGCUGGAACGACGGGUGGAGCGGUGAAAUGCGUAGAUAUCCGUUGGAACGCCGGCGGCGAAAGCGAGCCACUGGGCCUGUCCUGACACUGAGAUGCGAAAGCGUGGGGAGCAAACAGGAUUAGAUACCCUGGUAGUCCACGCCGUAAACGAUGCGCACU